AGCUUGCUGCUUCGCUGACGAGUGGCGGACGGGUGAGUAAUGUCUGGGAAACUGCCUGAUGGAGGGGGAUAACUACUGGAAACGGUAGCUAAUACCGCAUAACGUCGCAAGACCAAAGAGGGGGACCUUCGGGCCUCUUGCCAUCGGAUGUGCCCAGAUGGGAUUAGCUAGUAGGUGGGGUAACGGCUCACCUAGGCGACGAUCCCUAGCUGGUCUGAGAGGAUGACCAGCCACACUGGAACUGAGACACGGUCCAGACUCCUACGGGAGGCAGCAGUGGGGAAUAUUGCACAAUGGGCGCAAGCCUGAUGCAGCCAUGCCGCGUGUAUGAAGAAGGCCUUCGGGUUGUAAAGUACUUUCAGCGGGGAGGAAGGGAGUAAAGUUAAUACCUUUGCUCAUUGACGUUACCCGCAGAAGAAGCACCGGCUAACUCCGUGCCAGCAGCCGCGGUAAUACGGAGGGUGCAAGCGUUAAUCGGAAUUACUGGGCGUAAAGCGCACGCAGGCGGUUUGUUAAGUCAGAUGUGAAAUCCCCGGGCUCAACCUGGGAACUGCAUCUGAUACUGGCAAGCUUGAGUCUCGUAGAGGGGGGUAGAAUUCCAUGUGUAG
rnacentral:rRNA from 1 species